UUCCCAUUUUAUCCUCCUAUCCUUACAAUCGACAGCCAACAUCAUCAGUUUCUUCAUUGAAUCGACAGCCACCAUCAUACCAGCAAUUGAAUUCCCUGAAUUGUUUCUACCUUUACCAGAUUCUUCAACUCAAUCUCAAAUUUAAGGCCAAUUGAAUGUCCAUUGAAUUCCCAUCAGUUGUGAAUGUCGAUUGAAUUUCCAUUGAGGCCAUGCAUUUAUCGAUUCAUGAAUAUGCGAUUAAUGGUACCACUCCUUCGAUGUAUUAGUUAAAGAGGGAGAGAGAGUGAAGACUGGAGAAUACGGAGAGAGGGGAGCAGGCCAAGGCCCUCCGGCAACGGUGACAUCGAUGACAGCUACGAUACUAAUCUCACCGCUAUCUCCUCUACCUUUUGAUUGAUUUGAUUAUUUAUUCAAUUUUGGUUUGAACUCAAAUGGAGGGUGUAGUUCAGUUGGAAUUUGGAGAUGAUGAAGAUGAGUUUAGAAUUUAUUGUGGAGAUGAGGAUGAGUUGGAAGAAGUGUCGAUUGUUGGGGAUAUGGAUGACGGCGGUGGUUUGGGUUUCUGGUAGCAACAGCGAAGAAGAAGAGCGGGGUGGUGGUGAUGUCUACGGUGAUGAUGAUGAUGGUUUUGUUUGACAUAGAGAAUGAUGGUGGUGGUUGUGAUUAAUGGUGAUGAAGACAGUGUCAUAUGGUUCCAGUCAUGGUGGAUGUCUGCGGCGAAGACACUCUCCGCCUAAACCGAAGAACAAGCUAAAAGACAAAAACUUCAACACCCGCAAAAACUCGGGAAAGUGGAACCGAGUAAACUUAUGAGUGACACGACGGUCGACAGGUUUUUAAGGUAUCAUGUACAAGGAUUCAAGAAGCCUUUUGUUGAGAAGUUUCCAGCAUGUUCCGUUUCAGCAAGAAGGCAUAUUGAUUCAUGUACUACGAUAUAAGAUGUUCAGGGGAUGGUUAGCCUGUUUCUCUCUUUUUUUGUCCUUUUUUUUUCUCAUUUCCAAAUAAUGUUUAUUAUAUUAAUAUGAAGGUUUCUUACAAUGUCGUUUAUGUUGAACUGGAUGAGUUUUGGAAAAGCUGCACAUGAUUUGGUCAUGCGUAUGUAGAAAAUAGACGGUGAUAACUAUCCUGAGACAUUGCAUCAGAUGUACAUCAUCAAUGCUGGUACAAAAAAAGGUUAAAUGUUCUAGGAAACAGAUAUCAGAAUACAUUGUUAGAAGCUAUUGACGCGAGGAUCGUGGAUUUGUUUCCAACUGCCAGAUUUUCUUGGUGGAACGUGUUCUUGCCCGAAUGAAGGUGGAUGUCUUAGAUCAGAUAAGGAAUGAUUUGGAAUUGAUGAAGAUAGAACUUGCCCGAAAGUAUAAUGAACUAGACCUCUUUAUGAAUGAAGAACAUCCUCAGUUUCAUUUGGUCAAGAUGGAGGUUGCAAAGUCCCGAGACAAACAACUUGUUCAGCUAUUUGGAUCAGGAGUUGGCAUUCACCAUGCAGGGAUGUUGCGUGCUGACAGAGGGUUAACUGAACGCCUUUUUCUGAUGGAUUGUUGAAGGUCUUAGUUUGUACAACAACUUUGGCAUGGGGAGUCAAUCUACCUGCACGCACUAUUAUGAUUAAGGGGACUCAGCUGUACGAUCUAAAGGCUGGUGGAUGGCGAGAUCUGGGCAUGAUGGAUGUCAUGCAGAUUUUUGGACGUGCUGGUAGACCUCGGUUUGAUAAAAGUGGCGAAGGCAUUAUAAUUACAUCUCAUGAUAAGUUAGCUUACUAUUUGCGACUGUUGACAAGUCAACUUCCCAUUGAAAGUCAGUUCAUUAGCUCCUUGAAAGAUAACCUAAAUGUUGAGGUAACACCCCAUAAUGUGAAAGAAGCUUGUGCAUGGCUCGGAUACACGUACCUUUUCAUAAGGAUGAAAAUGAAUCCUUUGGCAUAUGGUAUUGAAUGGGAUGAGGUACUAGGUAGCUGGCUGGCUAGACAUGCUGCUUUUGAAGAAGAUAAAUUAAACCUUUCCUCAGGUGGAUCACCAAUGCAAUAAAAAACAUUUGUAUUCUCAAAGUCUUCAUCCGCAGUGUAAUUGUACUCCCAAUUAAAGAGUUACUUAUAAACAUUUGUAAAGUGAACUCAUUCAUACCCAAAAUAGUGAUA